CCUACGGGAGGCAGCAGUGAGGAAUAUUGGUCAAUGGACGAGAGUCUGAACCAGCCAAGUAGCGUGAAGGAUGACUGCCCUAUGGGUUGUAAACUUCUUUUAUACGGGAAUAAAAUGCUCUACGUGUGGGAUUUUGUAUGUAUCAUACGAAUAAGGAUCGGCUAACUCCGUGCCAGCAGCCGCGGUAAUACGGAGGAUCCGAGCGUUAUCCGGAUUUAUUGGGUUUAAAGGGAGCGUAGGUGGAUUGUUAAGUCAGUUGUGAAAGUUUGCGGCUCAACCGUGAAAUUGCAUUUAAAACUGGCGGACUUGAGUACAGUAGAGGUAGGCGGAAUUCAUGGUGUAGCGGUGAAAUGCUUAGAUAUCACACAGAACUCCGAUUGCGAAGGCAGUUCACUAAACUACAACUGACACUGAGGCACGAAAGUGUGGGUAUCAAACAGGAUUAGAUACCCUUGUAGUC
rnacentral:rRNA from 1 species